rnacentral:rRNA from 1 species
GACGAACGCUGGCGGCGUGCUUAACACAUGCAAGUCGAACGGAAAGGCUCCAGCUUGCUGGAGUACUCGAGUGGCGAACGGGUGAGUAACACGUGGGUAAUCUGCCCUGCACUCUGGGAUAAGCCUGGGAAACUGGGUCUAAUACUGGAUAUGACCUUUCUCCUUAUGGGGUUUGGUGGAAAGUUUUUCGGUGUAGGAUGAGCCCGCGGCCUAUCAGCUUGUUGGUGGGGUGAUGGCCUACCAAGGCGACGACGGGUAGCCGGCCUGAGAGGGUGAUCGGCCACAUUGGGACUGAGAUACGGCCCAGACGCCUACGGGAGGCAGCAGUGGGGAAUAUUGCACAAUGGGCGGAAGCCUGAUGCAGCGACGCCGCGUGAGGGAUGACGGCCUUCGGGUUGUAAACCUCUUUCAGCAGGGACGAAGCGUAAGUGACGGUACCUGCAGAAGAAGCACCGGCUAACUAUGUG